UUCCGUGUCGCGCGCGUCAACGCCGUCGCAUUAUCCUCUCUAGCCGGCGAUGUUGAGUUGUGAUGCAGCAGCAGCAGUGUGCCGCAUACAGAUCGGAGUCGAGCGUUUGGCCGCCAUUUUGUAAUCGCCAUUUUAUUCCCCUCGGUAACGGGGCGAGGACACGUACUUGGCUUGUGUGCCACUCUCUUGCCUCAUUAUCGUCAGAAUUCGAUCGAGUGCCGCUGCACUUGUUUUGGAAGCGCCGACAUUCUCUUUAUGACCCGUUAAACGAGAACGAAAGAUAAGAAAAUUAUAAUCUACAAAGCUAGGGAUACUUUGCAAAAAUGAGCUACGGUAGACCACCACCCCGCAUUGAUGGGAUGGUCUCCCUCAAGGUUGAUAAUCUGACUUAUCGUACUACUCCCGAAGACCUGAGACGAGUAUUUGAGCGCUGUGGAGAAGUUGGAGAUAUUUACAUACCUCGUGACAGAUUCACAAGAGAAAGUCGUGGUUUUGCAUUUGUCAGAUUUUAUGAUAAACGAGAUGCCGAAGAUGCACUUGAUGCUAUGGAUGGUAGAUUGUUAGAUGGUAGGGAAUUGCGUGUUCAGAUGGCACGUUAUGGAAGACCUACGUCACCUCAUCGUAGUCGUGGAAGUAGACGCUGGAGAAGCUCUCGCAGUCGCAGCCGGGACCGCAGACGCUCGAGGUCCAGGUCACGCUCUCGCUCUCGCUCGCGCAGUCGUGACCGGGACCGCAGGCGCAGCUAUAGCCGCAGUCGUUCACGCUGCCGCUCGGACAGCAAGAGCUCGCGCGGCAAAUCGCGCAGUCGCAGCAAGUCGACCGAUAGACAGAAGGACGUGCGCUCCAAGUCAAGGGAUUGAAACUAAAGCCAAAUUUUCUUAUAAAUGGCAAUUCAUGUUCGAGAGGCAUUUGCACUACCAUCUCAAGAGCCAACUAUACUGACUUGAAUUAUAAAAAAGGCGGCUGUAAGGCGGAGAGUGGCGCGCGCCGAGAGAAAGAGAGUAAGCAGGCCGUAAGCCGUGGGGAGAGAGCGAGACGGAGAUUGGUUGCGGUCGUUGCUGUCGUGUAGCAGAGCGAGAGAGAGCGAGAGAGAGAGAGAGAGAGAGGGGCACUUUGCAGUAGGCCGAAAAGUCGCAAAAGAAAAAAACAGAGCGAGAGGGGGUGCGCGCGCGCGCUCGCGGGUGUGCCUGUGUGUGCGAGA